rnacentral:rRNA from 1 species
AACCGACCUGGCUCACACCGGUYUAAACUCAGAUCAUGUAAAAUUUUAAAGGUCGAACAGACCUAAUAUUUCAGCCUCUUCACCAAAAAUAAAUUUUAAUCCAACAUCGAGGUCGCAAUCCUUUUAUUUGAUCAGAACUCUAAAAAAAAUUACGCUGUUAUCCCUAAGGUAAUUUAUUCUUAUAAUCUUAACCUAAAGAUCAAAAAUUCAUAAAUCAAUGAUUUGUUUUAAAAAAAAGUUUAAUCAAUUUUUCUUUCUCCCCAAAAAAAUACAUAUUUCAAUAAAUAAAAUCUCAUCUUAACACUACCUAUUGCCUUAAAUAUAAAACUCUAUAGGGUCUUCUCGUCUUCUAUAAACAUUUAAGCUUUUUUACUUAAAAAUAAAAUUCUAAUUAAAUUUUAUAGAAACAGUUUUUUUUUCAUCAAACCCUUCAUUCUAGCUUUCAAUUAAAAAACUAAUGAUUAUGCUACCUUUGCACGGUCAAUAUACCGCGGCCAUUAAACCCUUCAUUGGGCAGGCCAGACUUGAAAUUAUAAUCAACAAGCC